ACGUAGGGUGCAAGCGUUAAUCGGAAUUACUGGGCGUAAAGCGUGCGCAGGCGGUUGUGUAAGACAGAUGUGAAAUCCCCGGGCUUAACCUGGGAAAUGCAUUGGAGACUGCAAGGCUUGAGUGUGGCAGAGGGGGGUAGAAUUCCAGGUGUAGCGGUGAAAUGCGUAGAGAUGUGGAGGAAUACCGAUGGCGAAGGCAGCCCCCUGGGAUAACACUGACGCUCAUGCGCGAAAGCGUGGGGAGCAAACAG
rnacentral:rRNA from 1 species